GCGGCUGCUCGCACGCCGGGCCUCCGGAGCCACCUCAGCCGAGCGCACAGGUGUUUAUGAAACAAAAAUGCACACUAUCCCGACUGACCGGAAUAAUUGAUGAAGAAGGGUGCUGGAUCCGUGAGUCAGAGAGCACACAGUACCAGCUUGCCACCCCAAGGCCGAAGUCUGGUGUCUCGGAUAUGGCCCUGCGUUGCCCACUCCUGCUGCAUCUUGUCCAGCCGAGGGACAAAACAACCUGCCACUUCCUUGAAGAACAAGAAGAAAAGAAGUUAUGGAGGCAGAUUCCAGUGCAGCUGGAGACCAAGAUGCUGAGGCUCAGAGGGAGCAGGGAUCGCCAAGGCACGUGCUGCCGGAAGCCCCGGGAGAACUGGACAGGAGACACACUGACCCAAGUGGUAGAAGUACCCACAGUGACCGCAUGCCAUGGACACCAGCACUUGGGCUGCCCAUCCAAGACCCACACCAAAUGGCAGAUAGCACAGCAGAAUCUCACUUUGCAAAACCUGGCACUGGGACCAAAGAUGCUAGAGGGGCAGCAUGUAUCCCAAAGCUACCAGAAAAAGCCAGAGAAGAUGGCAGGUUGACUUAUGAAUUGUUGCGCCAAUAAGUAUUGUGAGAAGAGACCUCCUCGUCAUCAGCUCCCAUCACAUCUGGACACCACUCUUCACUAUAAGCCUGGAGUCCUGCCUUAGAUGCCAGCAUCCCACUCAACCUUCCUUGUGAGGAAAUACCCUUUUUCCCCCCCUCCGUAUUCUGGAUUCACUCGUUAGGCCCAGUACCAGGUCACCUUAAAUAGAAGCACCCUGAGAUGUUAGUACUUCUCAGAAGAUGCCAAAUGUUUGUCACACCUGUGUCACCCUGUGUCACAAAAACCUGGGUCCACUUCUGACAGGUGAUGCCUGGCCUGCUCCCUCAGCAGUUUGGUACCCUUCUCCCCUACCUCACGCAUCCCAGCUGUGACUUUGUCAGUACCUGGUAUUUGGAUUGCACAAAGAGAGAGAAGGUGUGUUCGGAGGAAGUGAUGCCUUUGUCCGCUGGGAGGCUGGGACCAGCCUAGGCAGAAGGCCACCAGCACCCAGCUCAUGUUCUGCCUUGCCCUCUACUCAGGACUCUCGUCCCACCUUUCUGUGUCUGUUCUAUCCAGGACAGUUGUGCUUUACUUUCUCCAAUUAAACAGAAUUUGGUUACUUUUUAUUAUUGCAAAGCAAUGCAUUAUUAUUAUCAAGACACCAGGAAUAUAGAUAAACAGAGGAAAAGAAACUAGCGCCCUCCCCAUCAACCACUCAUAUGUUCUUAUUUCAUCAUGUAUUAUAUAUACUAUGCAAAUUUAUGUAUACAAAGGUAAUG
rnacentral:lncRNA from 1 species